UACGUAGGGGGCAAGCGUUAUCCGGAUUUACUGGGUGUAAAGGGAGCGUAGACGGAACAGCAAGUCUGAGGUGAAAUGUAGGGGCUCAACUCCUGAACUGCCUUGGAAACUGUUGAUCUGGAGUACCGGAGGGGCAGGCGGAAUUCCUGGUGUAGCGGUGAAAUGCGUAGAUAUCAGGAAGAACACCGGUGGCGAAGGCGGCCUGCUGGACGGUAACUGACGUUGGGGCUCGAAAGCGUGGGGAGCAAAC
rnacentral:rRNA from 1 species